GAGUUGUCUUUACCAAGGUUAACACUCCCCUUGAUAAGGAUGGAAGGGGCUCUAGUGGCCUUACAUGACACAGAUGAUUGAGGCAUUGCCAUCUAACGGAACAGCCAGAAGGCGCAGGUAAUGCAGUCU